GACGAACGCUGGCGGCGUGCUUAACACAUGCAAGUCGAACGGAAAGGCCCUGCUUUUGUGGGGUGCUCGAGUGGCGAACGGGUGAGUAACACGUGAGUAACCUGCCCUUGACUUUGGGAUAUCUUAAGGAAACUGGGGCUAAUACCGGAUAGGAGCUCCUGCUGCAUGGUGGGGGUUGGUUAGUUUCGGCGGUUGGGGAUGGAAUAGCGGCGUAUCAGCUUGGUGGUGGGGUAGUGGCUUACCAAGGCUUUGCACGGUGGCCGGCCUGAGAGGGGGGCCGGCCACACUGGGACGGAGAUGCGGCCCAGACUCCUACGGGAGGCAGGAGUGGGGAAUAGUACACAAUGGGCGGAAGCCUGAUGCAGCAACGCCGCGUGCGGGAUGACGGCCUGCGGUUUGUAAACCGCAUUCGCCUGUGACGAAACGUGAGUGACGGUAAUGGGAAAAGAAGCACCGGCUAACUACGUG
rnacentral:rRNA from 1 species